GAUGAACGCUGGCGGCGUGCCUAAUACAUGCAAGUAGAACGCUGAAGGAAGGAGCUUGCUCUUUCCGGAUGAGUUGCGAACGGGUGAGUAACGCGUAGGUAACCUGCCUGGUAGCGGGGGAUAACUAUUGGAAACGAUAGCUAAUACCGCAUAACAGUAGAUGUUGCAUGAUAUCUACUUAAAAGGUGCAAUUGCACCACUACCAGAUGGACCUGCGUUGUAUUAGCUAGUUGGUGAGGUAACGGCUCACCAAGGCGACGAUACAUAGCCGACCUGAGAGGGUGAUCGGCCACACUGGGACUGAGACACGGCCCAGACUCCUACGGGAGGCAGCAGUAGGGAAUCUUCGGCAAUGGACGGAAGUCUGACCGAGCAACGCCGCGUGAGUGAAGAAGGUUUUCGAAUCGUAAAGCUCUGUUGUAAGAGAAGAACGAGUGUGAGAGUGGAAAGUUCACACUGUGACGGUAUCUGACCAGAAAGGGACGGCUAACUACGUG
rnacentral:rRNA from 1 species